UCUGUGAAAAAGUCCAUGGCUCAGGGGAGUCUGCGUGGAAGUGAUACCGGACUGGAGGCUUGAAGGAUAAAUGGAGAAAUCAUUGGAUGAACGGGACUGGGGAAGAGGCAGUAGGAAAGUUCACUUCAGAACAGGCAACCACGGGGCACAGGUGAGCUGCCAGCAGAAUGACGUCUAAAUUUUACCAGCAGCAACACAUCAUUUGUGCUUCAAAUAGAUCUCUGCCCAGAUGUCCCUUUUACAAUGAUGUACUGUCUAGUACGGAAGACAGAUCAACAAUGAACACGUGGGGAAAGCUAUGUAUGAAUUCUGCACACUGUGUAAGAACAUGUGAGGGCAAAUGAACAGGGACAACGGACAACUCAACAUGACUUGGGUCAUUAAUUUGCUUGGCAAGCUAUUCUCAUCCUCCUCUUGUCUUCACUGCCUUGGCCAAGGGGACUAAAGCACCUGCCCCAAGUAGAUAUUAACUGACUACUUCACUCAGAUACACUUUCAGGAAGUCCCAAGAUACAAGGGCUUUAGAAAGGUCAUGGUCAUCAAUGAAGCUGGCGCUACAGUCUGAAUGUUUGGGUCUCCAAAAUCCAUAUGUUGAAGUCCUAACCUCCUAAUCCAUACGGUAUUAGUAGGUGGGGCCUUUGAGAAGCGCUGGUCAUGAGGUGCUUCAGUCUCUUAUGAAUGAGACUACGGUCUUACAAAAGAGACUCUGCAGAUAUCCCUUGCCCCUUCCACCAUGGAAGGACACGGUGAGAGAAGCUGGCUGUCUGCAUUCUGGAAGAGUGCUUUCACCAGAUACUAAAUCUGCUGGUACCAUGAUCCUGGACUUCCCAGCCUCCAAAACCGUGAGAA